GACGUAGGGCGCAAGCGUUGUCCGGAUUUAUUGGGCGUAAAGAGCUCGUAGGCGGCUUGUUGCGUCGACCGUGAAAACCCGUGGCUCAACUGCGGGCUUGCGGUCGAUACGGGCGGGCUAGAGUUCGGUAGGGGAGACUGGAAUUCCUGGUGUAGCGGUGAAAUGCGCAGAUAUCGGGAAGAACACCCGUGGCGAAGGCGGCUCUCUGGGACGGUACUGACGCUGAGACGCGAAAGCGUGGGGAGCGAACAGG
rnacentral:rRNA from 1 species